UGGGGAAUAUUGCACAAUGGGGGAAACCCUGAUGCAGCGACGCCGCGUGAAGGAAGAAGUAUUCUCGGUAUGUAAACUUCUAUCAGCAGGGAAGAAAAUGACGGUACCUGACUAAGAAGCCCCGGCUAACUACGUGCC
rnacentral:rRNA from 1 species